rnacentral:rRNA from 1 species
AGAGUUUGAUCCUGGCUCAGGAUGAACGCUGGCGGCGUGCUUAACACAUGCAAGUCGAACGAAGCUUGAUCCCGG